UUAACCUGGGUUUCCAUUGGCAUUAUAAGCAUUUUGGAGAUUUUUGUCCCCCAAACAAAAACUUUAUAUUGCAACCCUUGGGAAAAAUCUAUAUAAAUCUUUUCUAGAUCAGUUCAGCAACGGCAACAUGUCACCAGCCACCUCCAUUUUAUCCAGUCUUAAAAACAGAAAAUAAAAGUUGCUUAAUUCCAUCCCUGGCUUUGUAUCCUAAGUUUUAAAUCAUUCCUGGUGCCACAGCACCAAGAGGUGGAAAGGGAGGGUGGUCCAGAGGUCCAUCAAAAGGGAAGGUCGUUAGUCUCCAUGUCACGAGGUGGUUGGCUGGAAAGUCUUGCCAUUCAGUGUAGACUGAGUGGAUUUUGUUCAGUAGACCAAGAGCUAGUAUCGAAUGCUGUAAAUCGUGUGUAGGCUCAUUGUGCGUGCUGAAAUUGAGUAUUUUAGCUUGUAUUCAUAGCGAACGCCCUUGAUGGAUAUCAAGCUUUGACAAUUGCUGAGAUAUGAAUGCCGAGAUCAGUACACUUUGUGUGAAGAGCACAAAUGUACCACAGAUGCUGUAGGAAGACCGAUAUGGCCACUGGAGUCUUUCAUCUGGAAGAGUUGGGUUUCUUCACUAUGAAGGUUCUGUCUUCCCAUGCGUGGAGCAGAGAAAGGUCAGGGGGCGGGAUCAGUCAGAUGACAGCUGGAGGAGAGGGAUCACAGUGCAGUUAUCCAGCUGUUGGAAGUGACUGAGGGGUCUGUCGACAUGUGGAUCCAUUCUCCGGACACUACUAGUCACCAUGAGAAGAGAAACCACAAGUCUCCAGACCACAGCUUUGUCGAAAGCGAUAUAGCCUACUAGACUACACCCUGCACCCUUCUGUGACCCUUGUAUGCUCUCUCUCUCUCUCUCUCUCUCUCUCUCUCUCCGCUGGGAGGGAAAUGGCGGGAAUCAGGUUCCCAGAUGCAGACUGCCCUCCUCCCCACUGCAAAUGAGACCUUCCUUGACCCGGUGCCUCGGAGAGACUCAGUCGGCACUGCGUAAAAACAGCCAAUCAGAGCGCCCGAUGGCCCCCCGCCAGCCUAUAAGGCAGCGUAACUCACACCUGCACAAACCGAGGGGAGCGGUCUACGUGGACGGCCGCCGAGUCACACGCCAGGGGAAAGGACCAGAUGGCUUUAAGAGCAGCACCACAAGCCGAACCAGGCCCCCCCCCCACACGGUAGAUGGCCCUCCCCACCGGCCCAGUUGGGUGUGUCCUCGCAGUGGCUCAUUCCUAACUCUCCGAUGUCAUUGCUUAAUUUUUUUUUUGGCUGUGUUGUUUAUCAAGGUAAUGAGGUUCAGUUGUUAGGUUAUACUUUUGGAAUGAAAUAGAUUUAAUGGCACAUUAUCGUCCUGAAAAAAUGUAGAGGCUUGCAAAGUAGGUCAAUUGUUUGUGUACAGAUUUGAAUGAUGUGGAGAUUAACGGCAGAGAACUGGAAAAAGAGUCAUAACCAUGGAAACACACCAACACACACACACUGCACUUGUGUGUGGAAACCCAACAAUAUGAACUCUUCGUUUUGACCUCCAAAUGAAUCCAAGUAGCGCGCCUUUCUUCACACAACAUCAUCACUUGUGCAAAUUAGACAGACAAACAGCACAUUCAAAAUGUUAACAUUUGCAUGAGUUUUGAGCCCUUCCUUUCAGAGCAUAUAAGUCAAAUGGACAUUUUCUCCAAGCCAAGGUUACAUCAUUCGCUGCCAAAACCAAAGGCUGAACCUUUUUUCUUAGCUAUUCAGCCCGUGAAUAACCAGCGAUGAAAAACGCUAUGAAUCAUGCACCCCUGGGCACCCCCUCACCCCCCGCCACGGUUCUGAACUCAGCAGACAUAUUUAUUUUAGCUAUUAGCUGGUUUACAGCCCAAUCGUUCUUGGAAAGGGUUUGUUUCCUGUAUUUUCCUAAUUGCUGUUUCCAGAACAUUCUGAUAGUCUGCCACAAAGCAGCUCCCGAAGUGAAAACCUAACACGGUUUAGGGCCUGAAGUAGGGUAUUAAUAUUACUGCGUUAAACGCAGUUCAAAAGCACUGUAGGUCACAGUCUAGGUGCAGUGUGCCUGAGUGCUGCCUCCGGUGGAAGUGCUGCCCCAAAAGUCAUGGCUGAAGAAGAAGAAGGGAUUGACGUGGCAGACAAAUGCUGCAAGAAGAGCAUCACAUCAUCCAAUGAGUGAGGGACACUUGGGGUCAUGGUAUGGACGAAGCCUGGGGGGUGGGGGGAGUGGGGGGGGUGGUACGUACAGCAAACACCCAGCAUGGAAUCAUGGAAUCCACUGUUCAUCGUCCAAUAUCCACUAUUAAAAACACAAAAAUGGAGCUCAAAUACUUGGGGAAAAAAACCAUUACAAUAAUAACAUUAGAUUCCCUGCUAGGCCAAUAACAAGAAAAAAUAUUCCAGUCAGUUUCAGCAAAACAUCGUUGCCAAAAUAUAAUAAAACAGCGGCAUCUGCUGUAGCGCAAAAGGAGCACGAAGGAAAGGCAGAGAGCGUAGCUGUGUGGGUUCACACUAAUACAGUUCACCUCUGACUUAGUGCUUUUCAGUUUUUGUCUUUAUUUUUUAUCCUUUCUGCUUUACUGUUGCGUCAGUUGUUUUAGCAACAUAAAGACCGGGUGCUCUCCAUGGUAACACUUCUCUUUUUGAAUGUGAGUUUUAGGGGAGCAAGGAUGGGGUCUUGUAAUGACUAUCCCAGAGCUUAAAGCAGGAUCGCACUGGGAAGUCACUGAGCUAUUCUGAUGCUCUCUAGCCCUCGCUGGCCACGGAGGCUCAUCGGCAAUUCCCUGCUCCGGAUCCAGGACCAGAUGGAUUUAACGGUGCUCUAGGGCCAAGUCAGUCUCCUGUCCAAGAGCUGACUCCUCGAAUAAAUGACUCCACCCUCUGUUGAUGAGACACACUACACAGCCAUCCAUCCUUAGUAUGCAGCAUCUUCUGGUUACUUCACCCAGAGCAUCAUGGCAUCAGUGCCAGCUCUUGGAUCUGGCAGGCUGUGGAAACCACAAGAGGCUGACUAAGGACCUCAUCAUUUGUAGGGCCAGCUGAUAUAUGGAGGACAAGAUGAUGUUUUGAUGUUACCUUCAUCUACAUGUCCUACCUUUCCUGUGUUUAAUCACCAUGCAGAUAUAAUUCACGCUAUUUAGUUUAACACUUUAUUCAGUAUAACUUCAGCAAUCUGACUGCAUAAAAAUAUACGUUUUAGAUCAAUAUCUAAACACAUUUAAACAUGAUAAUGAAACGUCAUUUGCUUUUGUUUUGCACAUGUUUGGUUCUCAUGGUUAUAAGCUUGCGGUCUGGCAAUUUUAGGCACAAGAGUUUUCCAGACUCUUCUGCGCAUUCAUAGCCUUGGCCUUUAUGAGUGUGUGACUGUAUUUGCCCUGUAGUGGAUGAGCAUGUGAUCUCUCUGAUACUUGAGUGCAUGUUGCUGAGCUAGGAUUGAUGCUGGGAAGGCAAAUUUGAAAAAUGCACGGAACUGAGCUAAUCCGUGAUUUCCUCUAUCCCGUUUAUUCCCCCCCCCCCUCCCCCCCGCGGCAAAACUUAUCUAAUUGUUUCUGAAUUGGUAAAUGAAGACAUUUGGUUAUGCGCCAUGCACAUUUUUGUGAUUGAUUACAGAGAGGUAUUUGGAGAGGUCUGAGGCCACAGCUGAAAAAUCAAUGCUAGAUUUUGUUUCUUGGCAGAAAAGGUCUGCAGCUUUCAUCAGAACGGCCAUCCUGCUUGGGAAUUGUUUUGUUUUUUUUCUACUUUAUUAAAAUGCAUAAGCUGAAAAAAUAGCUUAAACUUAAGCUUUUCCAAAUCCAUUCUACAAAAUCUGUUUUCUGGGAAAACGAGGGCUUUAUAGUUACCGGGGUGAUCCUUACAUGCAGACUUUAAUCCCUUCAUGUGAGAAUGAUGACUGGGAUGACAUCAUGCCUCAAUUACAGUACCCCUAACACAGCUGGAAAUGGUAUAGAAUGGUCAGGUGGUAUAUAACGGUCAGGUGGUACAUAAGGUCAGGUGGCAUAGAACGGUCUGGUGGUAUAUAACGUCAGGUGGUAUAGAACGGUCAGGUGGUAUAGAACGGUCAGGUGGUAUAUAACGUCAGGUGGUAUAUAAGGUCAGGAAUAAAGACUGUCAUUCCACAUGGCAUUUCCAUGAAAGUUGCCUCUUUAUGUGGCUGAAGAAGUCCAUUGUUUGUUCUGUAACUUAGACAUCUUCCGAAUACUAACUGGACAGUGAUCAUAGGUUUACUCUGAAGGUUCAUUAAGUAUCAUGUCAUGGUAGAGAACCGUCACUCGGCGGUUGCAGUCUUCAAGGCUUGUGUAUAUAUAUUUUAGUAUCUCGUGUGUUUACUAUGGUCUGGAUGAUCUUUACUUGGAGAGAAUCUCCUUCCUGUCUUAUGUGAAAAUAGCCCAUAAAUGUAACGGCAGCAUCAAGUCAGACUACAUUUGCUUUUCCACUUACAAAAAUCGACAGACAACUAUAAUACUCAUUUUACAAUAUAAGAAGUGCAGGCACAGUUUGUGGGGGUGGGUUUUGGACCAACACGGAGGCUGCAUUUCUAUACAAGGCCUCAGGAUAUUCCAGACCCCCUAGGGCUGUGGUUGGGGGGUGGGGGGGGGGUGACCGUUUGUGGUGAACUAGAACACACCUGAGUAAACAUGGCCGGAUGGAACGCGCCCCGUGGGAACUUUGAAGCAGAGGGGGACAGAGUUUCCGUCACAUGACCCCAAGCGGGCCGAUCUUACAUUUCCACAGACAUACAGUUUCCAUAAACGCAUCCAUAGUUUCUCAGGAUUUCAGUUGUAAUUCUUGACAAGAGGAAAGCGACCAGGGUGGAGGCAGCAUUAACGCGGAUGCAAUGCAAACCACUAGACUGGGGACAUUAAAACAGCAGGAUGAAGAAACUCAAGAGACAAGUCAUGCUGACUGGGGAAUGUGAGAGCCGGCAGUGCUCACUGGUCAAGUUCCAAGGCCAAGAUCCACACACAGAUCUACACGUGUUAAUAACUGUAUAUGCUGUCAGAACUCGACACAUCACUGAACUUUGACUUCUGACCUCAGGUAGUGCAAUAUUCUGACAUUGGUUUCUAUUUAGUCCAGUUGUCUACUUAAUGAUCUAACAACAGGGAUCUAGAUAGAGAGUCUAAAUGGCAUAGCUUGGUGAGUAGCAGAGGGCAUUCUGGGAAACCUAGUACUCCUGCAGAAGCCCAUUGAGGCAGCCAGACCAUGAGUAAAAAAAAUAUAUUCCUAUUGCUGACUUUUACCAUCCUGCCCAAACAUUUAGUGCCCUGUGCUGACUCACUACCCAGUGCUGAGUCUUUUGUUCUCCCCCUCCACAGCCCUCAGUCCAUCCCACAAUCCCACAACACUGCAACAAGAGUACUGGGUGGAGGGAGAUGAUCCCUAUAUGUGUCAGUUCAAGAGAAUACCAGCCCAUGCAAAACAGAUGUGUUCUCAUGUGGAGCAAUAGUGCCAUCUACUGGAUAUGAACAGUACACUCAUGUUCCAACAGCAUGUUACACUUUUGUCUGGGGCCCUGCUCAAGGUACAAAGCUCCGCAAAUUCGGGGUAAAUGAUCAGAUUUCAGUCGGAUAAAUAGUGUACGGUAUUUUCCACUUCAUGGAAUACUGAUCUGCGAUUUAAUUGACUAGUAUAAGAUAGGCCUUCAUUUUGUUGGGUAAAUGCCAGGUACCGUUUAAGAGGAAGCUUAACAGACAUCGUGAAUUCAGUGGGAAAAUGGCCAAAGGCAAUGCCGUGUAUUUCAGGGUUCCCAAAAAAAUCUUGUAUGAUAGAGGACUAUGAUUACAUGGUGGGCAGUAGAUUACAAAGAGAUUUUAUCUAAUAAAUGCAAAACUGUCAGGGCAGGUAAGUCAUGUCAGGAACCCAUGAAACUAAUUUAAAUCUAAUCUAAAUCUGUAUAUUUUAUUAGGACAUUCAUUAAUAAAGCACAGACCUAACAUUUUUGUCUAUUCGUGUAGGAACAGCAUAUGCAUAUAUUAUAGCCCAUAUGUAAAAUUGCACAUUAACGAUCACUUUCCUUUCUGCACUUAUUUCACAGUCCCAUUUUCAAGUGGAUUAAAAGGUAAUAACUGCAAGUCCCGAUAAAAUAUAAGACAAUUACAGUAAUUCAUGACUUCCAGUGACUGUAGAUAGUUGCAUCGUCAGUGGCGCCAGCUUUAGCUGUGACCCACAAUUCCCCCCAAAAAAGCAAACUUCUGUUACAGAUCAGUGAAGACACCAUCUGUGUCCUCAGAGCUUCAAACAUGGCUGCACUUAAUGACUUCAUUGAGUAAAAUAGUGUUAUGCUGCAAAUGAACUUAUACAAUAUAUGGCCUGUCAUUAGCAAUGUGCCGAACAUAAUAAGAUGCUGUACAGGCACUACUUAAAAGGAAGAAUUGCGAACGGCGAGUAGGAAAUGAUGAACAGAGCUCUGAUGAUGAGGAAAGCAACUUUACUGGACAAGCACUUUCCAUAAGGGGGCGUUUCCCUUUUUUGUUGGGUAAUUUGUUAAUUACUUGUUUGAGGUAGAAUGUGCAAAUGAAUGCAUAACUUUUACUUCCAUUUACAUGGGCACCCUUCAAAUAAAUAUUUUUCUCACUUUCCCAUUGGAUAUUUUCUUUUAAUAAUGGGUAUCCCCUUGACCCUAACCUGGAUAAGCAGUUAGAUCAUGGCUGGAAUAUGGAAACUAAAGCAAGGCAAGAAUGGAAACGGUAACUAAGCGUGGAAAUCAAUCAUAAGGCGCAAAGAAAAUGUAAAGCUGUACAUAAAACACACUGAAUCGGAGGCUGUGGUCUGCGCCUUUCACACCCGUGCAGAUUUACAGACGUUCCCUGACAGGACGGAGCCAGAUCACACACUGCAGUAACAUAGGCAGAAGGUAUCUGAAGAGGAAAAGUAAAG